rnacentral:snRNA from 21 species
AUACUUACCUUGAGACGUUGCAGGAGGUCAAGUAGUCUUGCAACCAGAGGGCUAAGCAUGCAUUGCACAGCGCAGCUAGGCUCUAUGCCAACUUUCUCUAAUGAGGAAGUGUGGGUCUUUCAAUUUUUGAUUUCCCCUACGCUAUUGAAUAGAAAUUUUUUUCAUUCAAUC